CGACCGGGCGGAGGGCGGGGCCGGGUGCGCCGCCAUCAUCGCGGAUCGGGUCUGGGCGGGGGUCUCUUCCCUGUGGUGACAGUGGCAAGACCCGAGGGAAUGGCAUGGAGACGCGCCAGGGAAGGGUCAGGAGCCUAGGGCUGCAGUGCAGGAGGAUGGGAUAAACGAGGAAUUCACUCUUUCCACUUCUGUAGUCUUUUGAGUCGCGUUCCGAAUCGUAUCGAGCAGCUAUCUUUUGCAAAACCGCCUACUCUUUUAAAAUGAAAUCUAAACAGAGCUUGAAAAUAAAAGGUUGUUAAUGAAAAUACUGCAUCAAAUGGAUCCACACAGAUGUUGGGAGGGCCCGGUUGAAAAUUCUUCUCAGUACAACAAGGAACAAUUGAUAAAUGUUUCUAAAGGAGAAUGUCACGUGGAGUGGUGUGAAAACCGUGUAACAAUCAAGACUGUUACCUCUUACCUAUGAAGAAGGGCAUGUGGAACCUGAUUUAACACAGAUAUAGGCUUGAACAAUUCUAUCAGUUUCCAAUCUUCAUUUCAAUCACUGCAAUUUUGUGUGUAACCAUAACCUCAGUAAUUGUCUUCUGUAUCUCAGUGAUUAAAGCUCAUUCAGUAUUCAGCCAAGUUUCAAGAAGACGUUUUCUUUCCUUGCUAAGACAAUAUGUAGACAGAAAUCAGAGACUUUUAACGGUCCCAGAUUCAGUGAGGGAGAUGUUGGCACCGUCUAACACCCAUAUAGCUGUGAUAAACUCCUUUGCAAAAACAUGACAAUGUAGGUUGAUUCUUGAAGAUAUUUCCUCACUUUGUAGAAUCCCCAUUCAAGGAAGCACACUAAUGCGUGCUAAUAGUUGUGUAUGAUUUUAAUUUAUGUACUAUUCUGUAGUAGUAUGAAAUUCCUGAUGCAAUCAGUAUCAUUGCAAAAAAUAAAGCUGUUCUUACAAAUGAGUUACAAAUCCUCAUUAGCCAUCAGAUGUUACAUUAGACAAGCAUUUGCUGUAUCCUCAAUAUAUUAUGCAGCUUUUAGUGCUGUUUAUUGGUCACCUCUGUCCUUAACAGCCUCCAUCACCUUAGUAUUUAAGCAACUUGAUCCUGUAUGCCCUAGUGUUGAACAAUGGCCUACCUCUAAGAGAUGCUUUUCUUUUUAG
ensembl:lncRNA